rnacentral:rRNA from 1 species
UGGUGGCGACCGGCGCACGGGUGAGUAACGCGUAUGCAACCUACCUUUAACAGGGGGAUAACACUGAGAAAUUGGUACUAAUACCCCAUAAUAUCAUAGAAGGCAUCUUUUAUGGUUGAAAAUUCCGAUGGUUAGAGAUGGGCAUGCGUUGUAUUAGCUAGUUGGUGGGGUAACGGCUCACCAAGGCGACGAUACAUAGGGGGACUGAGAGGUUAACCCCCCACACUGGUACUGAGACACGGACCAGACUCCUACGGGAGGCAGCAGUGAGGAAUAUUGGUCAAUGGGCGAUAGCCUGAACCAGCCAAGUCGCGUGAGGGAAGACUGCCCUAUGGGUUGUAAACCUCUUUUAUAAGGGAAGAAUAAGUUCUACGUGUAGAAUGAUGCCUGUACCUUAUGAAUAAGCAUCGGCUAACUCCGUGCCAGCAGCCGCGGUAAUACGGAGGAUGCGAGCGUUAUCCGGAUUUAUUGGGUUUAAAGGGUGCGUAGGCGGCACUAUAAGUUAGUGGUAAAAUAUCCGGGCUUCACCCGGACUCGCCAUUAAUACUGUAGAGCUCGAGUACAGACGAGGUAGGCGGAAUAAGUUAAGUAGCGGUGAAAUGCAUAGAUAUAACUUAGAACUCCGAUAGCGAAGGCAGCUUACCAGACUGUAACUGACGCUGAUGCACGAGAGCGUGGGUAUCGAACAGGAUUAGAUACCCUGGUAGUCCACGCCGUAAACGAUGCUCACCGGCCCUUAGCGAUAUAGAGUUAGGGGUUAAUCGAAAGAAUUAAGUGAGCCACCUGGGGAGUACGUCGGCAACGAUGAAACUCAAAGGAAUUGACGGGGGCCCGCACAAGCGGAGGAACAUGUG